UGCCAGCAGCGCGGUAAUACGAAGGGUGCUAGCGUUGUUCGGAAUUAUUGGGUUUAAAGGGUACGUAGGCGGAAUAUUAAGUCAGUAGUGAAAGCCUAUCGCUCAACGAUAGAACUGCUAUUGAUACUGAUAUUCUUGAAUAUAGUUGAAGUAGGCGGAAUACGACAUGUAGCGGUGAAAUGCAUAGAUAUGUCGUGGAACACCAAUCGCGAAGGCAGCUUACUAAGCUAUUAUUGGCGCUAAGGUACGAAAGCGUGGGGAGCGAACAGGAUUAGAUA
rnacentral:rRNA from 1 species